GAUGAACGCUGGCGGCGUGCCUAAUACAUGCAAGUCGAGCGAACAGACCGGGAGCUUGCUCCUCUGACGUUAGCGGCGGACGGGUGAGUAACACGUGGAUAACAUACCUAUAAGACUGGGAUAACUUCAGCAAACCGGAGCUAAUACCGGAUAACAUGUUGAACCGCAUGGUUUAACAGUUAGAUUCGGUCUUUGUUUGGCUUAUAGCUUGAUCCGCGCCGCAUUAGCUAGUUGGUAAGGUAAAGGCUUACCAAGGCAACGAUGCGUAGCCGGCCUGAGAGGGUGAUCGGCCACACUGGCACUGAGACACGGCCCAGACUCCUACGGGAGGCAGCAGUAGGGACUCCUCCGCAAUGGGCGAGAGCCUGACAGAGCAACGCCGCGUGAGUGAAGAAGGUCCUAGGAUCGUAAAGCUCUGUUAUUAGGGAAGAACAAAUGUGUAAGUAACUAUGCACGUAUUGACGGUACCUAAUCAGAAAGCCACGGCUAACUACGUG
rnacentral:rRNA from 1 species